rnacentral:piRNA from 1 species
UAAUAUUUAGUUAUUUAAUUUGUUCUACUA